rnacentral:rRNA from 1 species
AGUGAACGCUGGCGGUAGGCCUAACACAUGCAAGUCGAACGGCAGCACAGUAAGAGCUUGCUCUUACGGGUGGCGAGUGGCGGACGGGUGAGGAAUACAUCGGAAUCUACUUUUUCGUGGGGGAUAACGUAGGGAAACUUACGCUAAUACCGCAUACGACCUACGGGUGAAAGCAGGGGAUCUUCGGACCUUGCGCGAUUGAAUGAGCCGAUGUCGGAUUAGCUAGUUGGCGGGGUAAAGGCCCACCAAGGCGACGAUCCGUAGCUGGUCUGAGAGGAUGAUCAGCCACACUGGAACUGAGACACGGUCCAGACUCCUACGGGAGGCAGCAGUGGGGAAUAUUGGACAAUGGGCGCAAGCCUGAUCCAGCCAUACCGCGUGGGUGAAGAAGGCCUUCGGGUUGUAAAGCCCUUUUGUUGGGAAAGAAAAGCAGCAGGUUAAUACCCAGCUGUUCUGACGGUACCCAACGAAUAAGCACCGGCUAACUUCGUG